rnacentral:tRNA from 1 species
ACUUAAGUAGCUUAAAUAGAGUAUAAUAUUGAAGAUAUUAGGGUAAUAAAUUUUAUUCUUAAGUA